rnacentral:rRNA from 1 species
CCGUUAUUAGUUAAAACCAAAUGCUGCAGCGCGGUUAGUGUUUCAGUAAGGUGAUUCUAGAUAACUUGGCAGAUUGCAUAGCCUUGAGCUGGCAAUAUUUCGAUUGAAUUUCCGCCCUAUCAACUGUUGAUGGUAAGGUAGUGGCUUACCAUGGUUGCAACGGGUAACGGGGAAUCAGGGUUCGAUUCCGGAGAGGGAGCCUGAGAAACGGCUACCACAUCCAAGGGAGGCAGCAGGCGCGCAAAUUACCCAAUCCAGACAAUGGGAGGUGGUAACGAGAAGUACUGGGUGGUAGACAAUGUCUGCUAAUCUCAGAAUGAGCAUAAAGUAAACAUGUAGUCGAGUAACGACUGGAGGGCAAGUCUGGUGCCAGCAGCCGCGGUAAUUCCAGCUCCAGUAGCAUGUCGUAAAGUUGUUGCGUUUAAAACGCUCGUAGUCGGAUCAUGGAGUAUCGAUGAGUUGGUCUGCGUGUGGGGGCAAUAAAACUGUAUCCGCUAGUUUGCCGUCAUUAAUUUGAUGGUGGCUGGUGGAUAGAGCGCUAUCUACGUAGACUUGUUGCUCAUCGGUACUAUUUGCAUGUAAGAAUAAUGGUUGGCCUUUAGUGCGUUGGCCAUUGUGUCUUACAGAGUGUGCCUUGAAUAAAUCAUAGUGCUUAAAGCAGGCUUUUGCCUGAAUGAUAGAGCAUGGAACGAACAAACGUGUACGUGAUGAUAGGGAGGGUCGCAAGACUUGAACUACAUCAUAUCACCAACCACCAUGUACGGAUGUUGGUUUCCGUAUUGGGGUACUGAUUAAGAGGAGCGGUUGGGGGCCUUGGUAUUUGGCAGCGAGAGGUGAAAUUCUUGGACCUGCCAAGGACUAACAAAUGCGAAGGCAUCUGUCCAGACCGUAUCCAUUAAUCAAGAACGAUAGUGAGAGGUUCGAAGACGAUCAGAUACCGUCCUAGUUCUCACUGUAAACUAUGCCGACCCGGGAUUAGUCCUACGCCUAUUAUGUAUGGCUUGGGUUGGUCCCCCUGGGAAACCUUAAGUUUUUCGGUUGCGGGGGGAGUAUGGUCGCAAGGCUGAAACUUAAAGGAAUUGACGGAAGGGCACCACCAGGGGUGGAGCCUGCGGCUUAAUUUGACUCAACACGGGAAAACUUACGUGAUCAGGACAUCAAAAGGAUUGUCAGACUAAGGAUCUUACAUGAUCUGGUGAUUGGUGGUGCAUGGCCGUUCUUAGUUCGUGAAGWGAUUUGUCAGAUUUAUUUCGGUAACGGACGAGAUCACAAUCUCCAUUUGACGAGMUGAGGUAAAUGUAAAUUGUCAAUUUUUUUGGUAAAACGAAAAAAUUGAGUAAUAUUUGCAUUGUUGUGAUAUAUAUUGUGUGAAUAAGAGAGGUUGAGAGAUAUAUGGCAACAUAUAUGGAUUAAUUAAACUUGUUUAACAACAAUGUAUUCCCCUUAGUCAAACAGUGUGUAACUUUAUGUUGCAUACUGUAUCAUGGAGAGACAACGGAACAUAUUUAAAAUCCGAGGAAGUGUGGCUAUAACAGGUCUGUGAUGCCCUUAGAUGUUCAUGGCUGCACGCGCGCUACAAUGGCGACGACAACGAGUGUCUGAAUCGAAAGAUUCGGGUAAUCUUAUAAUCGUCKCCGUGAUGGGGAUUGAUGUUUGUAAAUACGUCAUGAAAGAGGAAUCCCUAGUACGUGCGAUUCAUUAAAUCGCGCGGAUUUAGUCCCUGCCCUUUGUAC